GCCUGGGUGGCACAGCGGUUGAGCGUCUGCCUUCGGCUCAGGGCGUGAUCCUGGCGUUGUGGGAUCGAGCCCCACACCAGGCU
rnacentral:tRNA from 1 species